CUUUUUCACAUGGGAACAAUUUUAUUACUCAAUACCAAAUCUAGAACUCCCAAAAAUACAAAGAGAGUAGAAAAUUCCAAAAACUCAUCUAAAAUAAAUUUAAAACCAGUUUUCUGUGUGCAUUCUAAGGACUUCUAGAACUUAAUUAAUUUGCGCAACUCUGGUACUGGUAAAUUGAAUUCAUAAACUGAUUUCGAUAAGCUAUCAAAUGUUGGGCAAGGAUAGUGGCAAUGAUAUAUAUAUUCACGCUAGGCAUCUGUUGUGGCUCGAUAUCUUCUGAUUCAACUACCUCUGGAUCAUUCAAGUUCUGGUUCUGAUUUGUAAAUUUUUGAACUGCGUUUUCUGCUUCUACCUGCCAUUCACCUGCUAAAGAUAACAAUUAAGCAAAAUUUGUCAGGAAAACCACGAGCAACGAAAAUGUAGAUAUCAACAUUUUACUAUUCCUUCCACAUUAUUGGGAUAACAUUUGAAUGUGACUUAUGCACAAGCCUGUGUCACAUCGUAAGUUAAGUCUGGCUGUGAAGGGAGAGAGAUUUAAACGAACAUAUUUGAAUGACUUAUGUCUAGUAAUGCUUUUUGUAUAUUAUAAGCCGUGGUAUUGAUUAAAAAGGGUUUAAAAGGUAAUAUGUUUUGUGUACAUAAAGUAUUUGCUGAAAUAUGAGGGAUGGAAGUGAAUUUAAAGUAACAGAGCUGAAUAUAUUAAUUUUGGUUGCAGAGUCUGUCAUCUUCAAUUAAUAAUCAAUUAAAAAGAAGAUAGAAAAAUGUGUUUGAUUGUCAUAAUUAUAAUUUCUUGUGCCAAUAUUAAUCACAUAAAUUUCUGAGAUCAUCAGAGUACAUCAGAAUCGUGUUUGUUAAGAAUAUACAUUUGAUUAGUUGACGAACAAUCUAUUUUUGCAAGGAAAUCCCCUGCUACUGGUAUUGCAAAGAAUUCCCAUAUUAAUUUUUGCGCCAGAUGAAAUUCACUGAGAGAGGAGAGACAUGAUCUCUUUGCUGUCUCGAGUAGUAGUGGAUCCAUAUAUGAAUAAAGUUAUGGCAGUAAAGCAAAAUAACAGCAGCAACCCCCCAUCUCAACC
rnacentral:lncRNA from 1 species